UACGAAGGGGGCUAGCGUUGUUCGGAAUCACUGGGCGUAAAGCGUAUGUAGGCGGCUAUUUAAGUCAGACGUGUAAGCCCACGGCUCAACCGUGAAAUUGCGUUUGAAACUAUUUGGCUUGAGUACAGGAGAGGAAGGCGGAAUUCCCAGUGUGGCGGUGAAAUGCAUUGAUAUUGGGAAGAAAACCGGUGGCGAAGGCGGCCUUCUGGUCUGAUACUGACGCUGAGAUACGAAAGCCAGGGGAGCGAACGGG
rnacentral:rRNA from 1 species